UUAUUAUUAUUAUUAUUAUUAUGAAUAUUUUUAUUCAUGGCUUGUAAAUCUUGGAAAGAGCUUGCAAAACAUUAACUUGCAACCUCAAACGCAAUAUAUAAUCCGCCGUCAUUAAGAAAAGCCGAUCCGGCUGCAACCCUUGUCCUCCUGGGAUUAGUCUCUGCAACUUCUUUACCUUCCUUCGGACUGAGCCGCGCACUGCUCUCCUCCGCCGCCUCCUCCACUUCACCUUGGCAAAAUCGCUGCAUCCAUUAAUCUCCAUUGUCUCUCUCUUUAUCGAAAACGAAAAAGGACAGGCAAUGCCUAUAAUGGUAGUCGAGAGGAAAGGGAGAGAGUUCUGGUGUUUGAAAAGUUGCAGAGAAAAGAAGAGCUAUAACCUAUAAAACGAU
rnacentral:misc_RNA from 1 species